rnacentral:rRNA from 1 species
UACGAAGGGGGCUAGCGUUGCUCGGAAUCAUUGGGCGUAAAGGGUGCGUAGGCGGCGCGGUAAGUCGGGUGUGAAAUCUCGGGGCUUAACUCCGAAACUGCAUUCGAUACUGCCGUGCUUGAGGACUGGAGAGGAGACUGGAAUUUACGGUGUAGCGGUGAAAUGCGUAGAUAUCGUAAGGAAGACCAGUGGCGAAGGCGGGUCUCUGGACAGUUCCUGACGCUGAGGCACGAAGGUCAGGGGAGCAAACAGG